CUCCUACGGGGCGCAGCAGUGAGGAAUAUUGGUCAAUGGGCGCGAGCCUGGACCAGCCAAGUCGCGUGAAGGAUGACGGCCCUAUGGGUUGUAAACUUCUUUUAUAUGGGAAUAGAGUUUGGUAUGCAUACCAUUUUGUAUGUACCAUAUGAAUAAGGAUCGGCUAACUCCGUGCCAGCAGCCGCGGUAAUACGGAGGAUCCGAGCGUUAUCCGGAUUUAUUGGGUUUAAAGGGAGCGUAGGUGGAUUGUUAAGUCAGUUGUGAAAGUUUGCGGCUCAACCGUAAAAUUGCAGUUGAAACUGGCG
rnacentral:rRNA from 1 species